CAAUGCCAGGGUGUGGGCUCAAAGUUUGCCCAGCAGUGGGAGUAGUUCCAGGGAGUUCCAUAGUGCACUUUGAACACUUAAUGCAAAUAUUUUUGAAAUCGCUCCCUGGAGUCCCGAGGAAAACCGGUUCAAAUAUUCCACAUGAACAGUCGCUUUACAAAGCUUGAGCCAUUUGUCCAGUAGUGGGAGUGGUCAAAACAGGUUCUUGACUUCACUCUUAACACGAAAUUAAAAUAUUUUUGAAAUCGGUCCCAGGGGUCCCGAGGAAAACCGGUUCAAAUGUUCUCCAUAGUUAGUCACUUAACAAAGCCUGAGCCAUUUGCCCAGUAGUGAAAGUGGUCGAAAUAGGGUCUUUACUGCACUGUUAAUACGAAAUCCAAAUAUUUUGGAAAUUGGUCCCAGAGGUCCCGAGAAAAACCGGUUCUGAUGUCAAACUCGAACAGUCACUUUAUAAAGCUCAAGCCAUUCGCCCAGUUGUGGGAAUGGUUAGAAUAGGUUCUUUACUUCACUGUUAAUACGAAAUCCAAAUAUUUUAGAAAUCGGUCCCAGAGGUCCCAAGAAAAACCGGUUCUAAUGUUCUCCUUAGAUAGUCACUUAAAAAAGUCUUUGGCAUUUGUCCAGUAGUGGGAGUGGUCAAAAUAGGUUCUUUGCUUCACUCUUAACAUGAAAUUAAAAUAUUUUUGAAAUCGGUCCCAGGGGUCCCGAGGAAAACCGGCUUAAAUGUUCCACGUGAACAGUCUCUUUACAAAGCCUGUGCCAUUUGUCCAGUAGUGGGAGUGAUUGGAAUAGGUUAUUUAACUCACUCUUAACAAGAAAUCAAAAUAUUUUUGAAAUCGGUCCCAGGGGUCCCGAGGAAAACCGGUUCAAAUGUUCUCCUUAGAUAGUUACUUUACAAAGUCUUACGCAUUUGCCCAGUAGUGGGAGUGGUCAAAAUAUGUUAUUUACUUCACUCUUAAUACGAAACCCAAAUAUUUUUGAAAUCGCUCCCAGGGGUCCCGAGGAAAACCGGUUCAAAUGUUUUCCAUAGAUAGUCACUUUACAAAGUCUUAGGCAUUUACCCAGUAGUGGGAGUUGUCAAAAUAUGUUAUUUACUUCACUCUUAAUACGAAACCCAAAUAUUUUUGAAAUCGGUCCCAGGGCUCCAGCGAAAUUAACCUGACAAGACUUUUCUUCCAAUUAGGUCUCAUACAUACAUUGUCAAUCUCAACGCUCAGUAUGUGGCGGUCUAUCCAGUAGUGGAAAAUGUUGGAAUGGGUUAUUUUUUUUACUUACUGUGAUUUAAAAAUAAAUUCUAAAAGCAUUGGUUUCUAAUAAGAACUGACCCUGAUUUCCCGAAAAAAAUGCAAUUACCGCAGUACAAAAUCUAGA
rnacentral:lncRNA from 1 species